AUUGAACGCUGGCGGCAGGCUUAACACAUGCAAGUCGAGCGGAGAUGAGGUGCUUGCACCUUAUCUUAGCGGCGGACGGGUGAGUAAUGCUUAGGAAUCUGCCUAUUAGUGGGGGACAACAUUCCGAAAGGAAUGCUAAUACCGCAUACGCUCUACGGGGGAAAGCAGGGGAUCUUCGGACCUUGCGCUAAUAGAUGAGCCUCAGUCGGAUUAGCGAGGUGGUGGGGUAAAGGACUACCAAGGCGACGAUCUGUAGCGGGUCUGAGAGGAUGAUCCGCAACACGGGAACUGAGACACGGCCCAGACUCCUACGGGAGGCAGCAGUGGGGAAUAUUGGACAAUGGGCGGAAGCCUGAUCCAGCCAUGCCGCGUGUGUGAAGAAGGCCUUUUGGUUGUAAAGCACUUUAAGCGAGGAGGAGGCUACCUGGAUUAAUACUCUAGGAUAGUGGACGUUACUCGCAGAAUAAGCACCGGCUAACUCUGUGCCAGCCGCCGCCGUAAAAC
rnacentral:rRNA from 1 species